AGAUGACAGAGUAUAAAGAAGCACUGUCUUUGAUCGGUUUUGUUGUUGUCCUCUGGGUGCAGACCUUAAGGGAUGCCCUGAAACCUAUACGCUCCACAGCUCCCUUGCUUUCUCUGUGAAACGUGGGUCAGGUCGGGGCCUUUCAGAAAGGAAAGGAGGAGUCCUCGUACAAAGAGCUAAGAUGCCUGGAUUUGUCACCCCUUGGCUGUAUGACAAGAUAUUCUAGCUCUGCAGCUUGCCAGGUCAAAGCUGAAGUGCCUCCCAUCCCAACAGCUGCCUGCUUCUGGCUGCCAAAGUAUUUGCAUAGGAAACCUUGCCACGAACAGAAAUAUGCGGGCAUCCACCCAGCUGGAUGGCUGUAGCUAAUUUAUGGGGACUUCAUCCAAACCAGUCUUGGAGGAAACCCAGGUUCCUAUAGCUGGGCCCUCAGAAACGUGCCUUCAAAAGGACCACUGUGCUUGCAGUCGUGCUGCUGGCCUUCACAGUGUGCGACCGUACGGUUAAAGUAUGGUGAAAGCCCUUCCUGCAUGGCUGUAACUAAAUCAGCUGCCCCUCAAGCCCUGUUUGCUGACUUCCCAGACAAAGGCUGAAGGUACGAUUUUAUAAAUUAAAUCUAGCACAACACCACCAGCCUCGAGUGUGGCCCUCAGCACAGCUUCCAAUGCUUAGAGGCCCCGCCGUUCCCCAGGCAGUUCCUUG
ensembl:lncRNA